AGAUUCUAUAGUGUAGAUUCUGACUAGUCAAGAAAGGAAUCCCUGAGGAAGUAACAUGUAAGCCAACAUGAAAGAACGAAGUAUGAAUUAGCCAGGUGAAAUACAGGUUUUAUUUAAGACAAGAGAAUAAGCCUCAUUGCAUCAAGUUCUUGACACCAGAGACCAUGUCAUCUUUACAUCUUAAAUGCAGUGUUUCAGGUAGCCAAGGUGCCCAUCAAAGUAAUUCCUAAUGAAAAACUCAUCAUGUGAACUAUUGCAAAAGCCUCCUAUUUGCUGUGUGCAGUCAUCUCAUCUUCCAAACUCAACCUCCACAGAGCCUGAG